UGCUCAGAAUGUGCUCCUGCUACAGUUCAUGAUUUAAAUGCUUGGCUUCACUCGGUCUGAGAUCAAGCAAAUUGAGGAAAUUUAUUUAAAAUUCUCUAUCUUCAAAUUCCAGUGUCUCAGCUGAUGCAAUUUAAGACCUGAAUUUCCCUCUGGUUUGAGGGGUUGGAGCCCAGAGUCUGGGUGCAGUGCUGUAAUGUUGGAUACUGCUGAUAAAUAAUGGGUUUAUUGCAGUCCAAAGCCUUUUCUGGAGAGUUUUUGGAGAAAAUAGUUCAUGGCAAUGUGAACAAAUGUUCAAACCCACCAGCUGCUCGAACUAAGGGAUAAGCAUUCCCACAGAUAAUUCCCACAUUAAAGCUCUUUCCAAAUUUGUGUGACAAAAUCCAGUUCUGCCUUGUUGGGGACAAGAACUUUGCUUGCCAAGUGCUGUUUUUCAUUCCUUUCCCAUUUCUGAAGUACCUUUCCUUACAGACUGAAGUUGCCAAAGAAGGGAAAAUAAAAUCUUUCCCUUCUAUCAACUGCCUGAAGAGGCAGUUUUCCAGUCCUUAAAGUACUCCAGGGAUCCCUAGUGGGGCCUGCACUUGGGGAGGGUUUUGCCAUGAAUUUCAGGGAGACCAGGACUUGGAGGUGUUGGCCAGCUGCUGUAGCUGAGGUGUUCCUGUGCCAGCUGCCUCUUGUUCUUUUUCCCAGAACAGGCACUUUCAUAAAGUGUUUGCCACUUACUAAUAUGGAAUAGGUCCUGGAAUGAGCUCUCCACAUUACAGAGUGGCUGCCACUUAAAAACACGUGGCAAAUACUUCCCCAAAACUUUUGCUGGGUUUUUUUUUAGUUGAUUGUUUGAGAUUGAUGAUCACCCUCAAAAAAAAAAAAAAAAAAAAAAAGAACCAAAACCAAACCAAACCAACAAAAAACCCAGCAAAUUUCCAUGUUCCAUGAGGGAAAAACUGCAGUCUUUGAAGUAACAGAUGUUUUUGGUGGUUUAUUUACCAUUAACCACUAAUGUUACAGCUGGUAUGUGCAGACAAUUAAUUAAUUUUAAGCAAAGGAACUUUCUAGAAGAUGAUUUCCCCUUGGGAGAGGUGGGAUUUAUGCUUGGGUCCCAGUAGAGCUAAGUGUGCGUCCUGUAGCUGAGCUUGCCCAUGGCCACAAGGCCAAUUAACAGGAUCACAGGACUCUGGGGGCUGCAGCAGGAGAUUUCCCCUCUGGAAGAAACAAAAGGCUGCCAAUGUCCUGAUUAAUUUGCUUUGUGAAAUCCUAUUCAAGUGGGAAUUUAUGUGGGUACUUCACAUGCUUGGUAAGAUGCAUGGACUUUGCUGGUUAGGUUUAUCCUUUCCCAAAAAUAUUGUGUUUUAAUUAUAUGAAGGUGUCUUAGGGAAGAGAAACCCCACCUGUUGGAAUGUAUUCAUAUCAUGGGUCAGAUUUUGAUUUUUCUGGGCUGUCAAAACUCUCCCCUGAAGUUCUGUGUGAUGAAUAACAUUUUACCUCAUAUGUUGUGAUGUUAUUUGGGGCAAUCAUGACAGACUUCCUAAUGCAAAUGUGAUAAACUUAGUAAAAUCACUAUUCAAUACGUGAUUUUUCUUUUAGAUGAUCUCUCUCCCCUUUAUAUCAAUGAGUUUUUCAAAACCAUUUGAACUUACACCAAGGGGGAGCCUCACUGUUAAAAGGCAAAACAGUGGAAUUGCUUAGACAGAGAGAGCAACCAAAUAAGUGAGUCUAGAGAAAUAAUAUCUUUUCUACCUCUAAUUCCUUCCCUUUUUUCCUUUGUGCAAUGACAAAGGACCCAUUCCUUGUGGAGAACCAUGAGUUUACUGAUGCUCACCUUGGCUGGGCUCCUGUAUAAGCACAAGCAGCGCUUCAUUUUUGAAGCUGCCUUGGUCUUUCUGGAGGGUUUAUGGAAGGAAUUAUUACAAAGUGGUUGCCCACAAAUUCACAUUUUAGUUCCUUGCAUGUUUUGGGGGUGCAUUCUGUGAGGGCAGGAGCAGGAACAAUAUUUCACAGGAAGUUUUAAGUUCAAAAUGAUAUUUUGUCCCUGAUGUUCCUGACAAACUUCACUAAUACCAGAAUAAUGUCCUUUGCAGGGUGUUAUGGUUGGAAUGGGUCAAAAAUACAGCCAUGUAGGGGAUGAAGCACAAAGUAAAAGAGGCAUCCUGACACUGGAAAAUCCCACUGAGUGUGGAGUCAUCAUUAACUGGGAUGGUGUGGGAAAGGCUUGGUAUCAGAAAUGCCUUAUUCAUUUUGAGUGGAAAACAUGGACUUCAUAUUAUGUGGCAUUGGAUUUGGAAAAUGAAACAGCAACUGCUGCCUCCUCCUCCUCUCUUGAAAAGGGCAUGGAGCUUCCUGAUGGACAGGGGAAGGAAUUCACCAUUGGCAAUGGAUGGUGCUGAUGCCCAGGAGUAUUUUGCUUGUAUAAUUACUAUGCUGAGGUUCCAGAGAAGGAGGAAAAAGAAGGGGAUGAAGAGAGAAAUAAUGUGUUGAAGCUUCUUUCCACUCAGGGCUGGAAUGCACAGGUAUCCAUGAAACCACUUCAAAUGGUAUUGUGGGAUGUAAUAUUGACUUCCCUGAGUGAUAUUGACUUCCCUGGGAAAAAUGUCCUCUCUGGAGGAACCACCAUGUGUACCCUGGGAUUUGGGAUCAUGUGCAGAAGGAGAGGACAGUUUGUCUCCAAGUACAAUAAAGAUUAAGGUGAUUUUUUAAA